rnacentral:siRNA from 1 species
CAAAAACGCUCUCAACUUCAGG